UUCAAUGCCACCUCCCAACUCAGGAAGAAAUCAAAUACAAUUCCAAGGUCUAAGAAUGUAUGUUUAGAAGCAUUUACAUUUCACAACUUCCUUUGCUUCAAUUUUUCUCUGAGGUGUAUUAGUUUUCCCUGGACCUGUUUAGGUAACUCAUCAUCUGAUGAUAACCCAAUUUCAAUCCCUUCUACUUGUUCUCUCUGUAUAAUAUCAUGGUACAUUGGUAGAAACCCUCUUUGGAAAGACCUAUAGGAGAAAUAGGGUAGCAGCACACACAAGAACAAAAGGGUUACUAGCCAAUACAUUACAAGAAAAUCACCAAAUAGAAACCAAUUUUUAGAAACCAAAAUAAUUAGUUGCAAUAAUAACUAAAUUAGACACCAUUUUAGAAACUAAAACAAAAAUUGGUUUCGAAAUUAGUUUAUAUUAUUUUCUAUUAUUGUUAAAUAGUUUCUAAAUUUGUAUCUAAUUAGCAACCAAUGUUUUAUCUACCAAUUAUUUAGUUUCAGUUUCGGACAUUUAAACACAUAAAGCUCUUGAAGACGUGGAAAAGAAGUAGUUUUACACUCCCAUUCUUCCCAUUCCUUCAUAUCGUAGAAUGCCAGUCUCUCUAAGGAUGCAAAGGAGGAGCAAUGCUCACUAUUCCAUCAAGCCGUCUAAUCUCAAGGGUCUUCAGUGAUGACAAAAGUCCAAGGGGAGGUAAACAUAGAGAGGCAAACAUAGACAGUAUUUACAGUGCUGCAACACUAAGCACACCAGAUUUGAUAACGAAUUAUCAAUACCCAACUUGGAAAUUUUGUACCACUGUAGUUCGUGAUUGACAAACUCUCCAACUGAUUGGAAGGUUGUAGAUUCUGAAGUACUUCCUUUUCUUUCCUUGGAUCAUCAGCGAUGUGGUCCGACUUCCAUUCUAAUUCUAGGUCUACAAGGUGUCUAUCUUUCAUAUUUGCUUCUAAUGCAUCCAAAGGAUUGGAAAUAUUCUGCACUUCUUUGAUUGAUAGCUUUCUUCCAUAAAGAUUGAGUCCUCCUAAUGCACCCAGUUGCUUAGUAAUUAGCUCACUAUUUCUAUCCACUAAAAUCGGAUUUAGUACUUGAAGAUUCUUCAAUUCUCCAAAAUGCAUUGGCAUCUUUGACACUCUUGUACCUUUAAAUUCUAGGCAACGCAAUUUGGUAAGUUUAUGCAAAUUUAUGGGCAAUUCCUCCAACUCGUAACAAUUGUUCAACUUCAGAAUUAGUAAGUUAUAAAGCAAACAUAUCGAGUCAGGUAGCUUUUUUAUCUUAGUACACCACGAAAGAUCACCUACAGAAUCUGGGACCUCUCUAAGGUAAAAACAACCACGGAAAGAUAACACGCGUAGAAAAGAUAACACGCGUAUAAACUUAAUUUUGGAAAACAAAUCAUGUAUCGAAAUCUUGAAAUGCCACCAAGCUCUCGUUUUUGAGAUAGAAAGAAAUGAACGAAGUCUUUUAGCAUCAGUCAAACUCUCAAAACCAUCAAAACUUUUGACGUCACUGAAUUCAAAUGAAAAAUGACGGGUUGUUUUCGGUAUACAUCGGCCUUUAUCAAAUUUCAACCUGAAACAGAAAUCCACACAUACAUAUUUUGCCAAAUCAUUCAGAAGGUCAUGCAUGACGAAACAUCUCCCACCACCUGAUUGUUGAAAGAAAGACCUUGACAGUAGAUCAUUGAAGUACUCUUCACCAACUUCUUCUGGAUGUCUAAUAUGUUGUGGACUUUGUAGAAAAUUUUGGGCCAUCCACACCAAAAUUAACUCCGCCUUCACAAACAGAUAAUCUUUGGGGAAUAAGGCACAAUAAGUAAAGCACCUUUUAAGAUGAGAAGGAAGAUAGCGAUAGCUCAAAAAUAACGCAGGGAUAAUUUCACUGUGUUCUUUUGGUAACUCCCAUAUGUCACUUUCCAAUAUGUUCUUCCAAUCUGAAAUGGAUGACUUUGUGCGUAAAGACAUCCAAUUGUUUUCAAAGCUAGAGGUAAUCCCUUGCACUUCUCAACUAUCCUUCUACCAACCUUCAUUAACUCAUCAUUCAAUUCAAGAUCACCAUCUUUUAAUGCAUGAUUUUCAAAAACUUUCCAGCAUUCAUCCUCUCCUAAUUGCUUUAGAAGAUGCACUUCAGACCUCAUGCUAGAAGCAACUUUCUCACCACGAGUUGUGACAAGAAUUCUACUUCCUGGAGCUCCACAACUAAGAGGAGUUCGCACAACUUCCCAUUCUGCUGGUCUUUCGUUCCAAACAUCAUCCAAAACAAGAAGAAAUUUCUUUCCUGACAAUUUUUCUUUCAGUUUUUUGUGAACCAUUUCUAGGUUCCCCCUGUCAUCUUUUUGAUUUGUGAUUGCCUCAAGAAUUGUUCUUGUCACGGUCAAAACAUGAAAAUGAUCAGAAACACAGACCCAUGCUUUGAUAUCAAAUUUUGCAUCCUCGAUCUUUGGGUCACUGUACACAUGUUGGGCGAGUGUAGUCUUACCCAAGCCACCCAUGCCCACAAUGGAAAGUAUUGAUGGGUGGUUAGGAUUGUCGAUUUCAGAUGUGAGCCAAUUAAUGAUUAUAUCUUUGUCAGCAUCUCUGCCGUAAAUAACACUUUCAACCACCAAAGAAGAUGAUGGCAAUUGAAGCGUUACUACCUGAUCCAUCAUCACCAGAAUAAGUACCCUCGUUCAAACGAAGAGCAUCCUUUUGUUUUGCAAGAUAUUCUAGUUUCUCCAUGACUUCUUUCAUCUUUGAUUCAAUUUUCUUGUUAAAUGAAGCGAAAGUAGAGUUGAAGAAAUUUGAUACCUUGUAAUUAAAGGUUUGAGAUUGGGAUUGAGCGUGGACUUGGCAUCUGGUGAAUUCAUAGUCUAUUUCACCCAACAGAUCCUCUGCAUCAAAGACAGCCUCUUUGACAGCAAGAAGCCAUGCUUUGACGUCUGGAUUUGUGAACUGCUUUAGUUCAGCAUCAUCAGCGAGAGCAUUGAUGGAAUGCAGCAUGAUGUUCAAAUUGGGGAGCAGUUUCUCAUCAAGUUUUCUUCCACGAAAGAAGUCUAGAAGUUGAGGAGAAGCGAGCCUGUGGAAUACAACCUGAAGAAAGGCGGAAAGAAGAGCACCACCAACAAGUUCAGCUGCCAUGGUAGGAAGGAGUUGGAAAUGAAGUGAAAUGGAUUGAGUGCAGGAAUGAAUGGUAUAGUGAUGAAUGAAAAGAGUAGUUAGAAAGGAUGACUUCACUUUAGAACAUGUUGUUCUUUUAUGGCAACUCAACCAAUAUAAAAUGUGAGCUGUUGGAUAUUCAUUCAACGGUUGUGAUGAAUGAAAGUAGGGCGGGAAGAGGAACGAACAAUGCAAUAAUGAUAAUAUCUGACUCGAAAUAAUAUCUUUUAUGUAACAAUUAAGCAGUAAUUGUUAACUGUUUCUGAUGUACUAAUUGGCAUCCUUUCGUUAUUCACUUAAUUUCGUUUAUGUCUUUCUUUUCUCUGUAUUUAUAAUUUUUUUAAUUUGGUUCAAUAGUAAUUUUUAUCUCUUUAUUUAUACUUUUAUUAUUUUUGAAAGGUCUCAAAUUAGUUUUACUUUUAUUUAAAAUUAGUCAGAAAAGAUAUUUUAAUAUUGUUUCAUUGACUAACUUUAAGUGGGACUUAACAUUGAUUUGGUAUUAUUGUAGUUUGUUGUUCUAUGUAUAAUAGUGUGCUUAAAAUACUAUGCAAACAAGACUAAUAGAAGUAUCACUCUUGACCACCCUCUUUUUUAGGUUUUUUUCCUUUAAUUCUUCUAAUUACAGAAUUUUAUAGCCUCCGACCCUGCAGUUAUAUUACAUUGAAGACAGAAAAUAAUUAUCUCUUUAAGCAUCAUCAACUUUAAGUCCUUUUGAAUAACAUGCUUUUGAAUAAUUAUCUCUGAAGGAAGGAGCAAAAAUGUCCUAGCUCAAUCUAGUGCUCAAGCUAAAAAAAUCUAUAAAUAUGAGACUUAUGAAUGAAUAGGGAGAUAUAUAAUUUUUAGUUUAAUAGUUUUGUUCUAUUUUCUUUCUUUCUAUUUGUAAAAGUAGUAUAUUAAGUGGAGACUUAUGAGUGUGUUGUACUACCUCCAGAUAUAAAAGGGAUGGUGUAAAACAAAGUGUGGAAAAAAGGUAAUUGAAAAUUAUAGGAUUAGUGUCUGAAACAAAGAAGAUUGUAAUCGAAAAGAUAGAGAGAUAUUGUGCAGAAUUAGCAGGUGUUGAAGUUGCAGACAAAGGAAAAUAAAAGAGUGUGAGAGUGGAGAGGUGACAGAUAGGUGAGACUCAGAUAUUGCAGAUAAUCCUUCACUCAUCAGUAUAUAGACUCAUGAGAUCAUUCAAUUCGUGCAAUGAUAUGCCAUAGAUAAAAUCAGUGUUUUUCAACUUAGAAUCUCUUAACCAUUAUGUUGAAAAGUUCCAAUAAAUGAGUACAAAUUUUCAUUAGGAUCCUCACAUUUAACCAUAGCCCUGAACUUUUGGAGAGAUUUUUCAUCAUGAAGAUGAGUUGUCACCUCCAAAGCAUGCUUUAAUUUCAGAUUAGUUUCUCCGUCAAGAUUCAUAGUCUCGACAUAAUUUUAUUUUAUUGUUUUGAAAGAUCUCAAAUUGGUUUUACUUUCAUUUAAAAAUUGACACAAUCUUUUUUUUUCUAAUAUUGUUUCAUUGACUAACUCUACAGUGGGACUUAAUACCGAUUUAGUAUUAUGUUUUCUGGUUGGUAGUAAUUAGGUAUUAAUUUGGCCAUAAAAUAUUUUGUAUUUGACAUAUGUAUUCAUGUGGAGGUUGAUAAUUUUUCAACCCAAGCUUGGAAACCAUCUACCGAAUAUGGAUUGAUCAAGGACCUUGGUGACAAUGUCAACAUGUUGCUCAGAACUCUUGAAAGGGAGAAGAUGAAAUAAUUCAGAUUGUAGUUUAUCUCUAAUGACGUGACACUCUAUUUCGAUAUGUUUAAUGUGUUUGAGAAAAAUAAGAUUUGAAGCAAUGUGUCGGACAACUUGAUUAUCGCAGAACAGAUGGGCAUUUUGUUGAAUAUUGAUCUGAAGAUCUUGCAGAAGAAAAAUGAGCUAUUGGAUUUCACUAUGCAGUGGUAGCAAGAGCUCGAUAUUCAGUUUCGGACGAAGAACGCAAAAUAGUACUUUGUUUUUUUUCCACAAAAUCAAGUAUUCUAGCUCUAGAAACGGAAAGAGCAAAAACAGAGAAAAGAUGAACAAUUUUAGGAGUUUUUUUUUGUAUUUCUAAUUUUAAUAUAUUAUUUAAAUAAAAAUAAUAAUUUUCUUAUCAGUUAGAUAUAAAAUGUUGCUUUUAAAAUGAAAAUAAUGUUAAUAUUUGAAUCUCAUGAUAGAAAUUUUGUAUUUGGUUUAUAUGUAAGAAAGUUAUGCUAUAUAUAAAGUGUAUGAUUAAAAAAUUAAUGAAACUCUUCCAUACGAUAGAUUUCUUCUUGUACAAAUAUAUUUUGUACUGUGCAUUCACAAUCACAUGCAUUUAGCAAAGUAAGAGGGAGUGAAAGAAAAUCUUUAUUGGUAAAAGACUCUAAAUCCACUCUUUGAAUAUACAAGAUUUGUAGAGAGGUGUUGGCUCCCAAUAAUCACUUUUUAUCUCCAACUAUACAAGACAAUACUUGGUGAACAAGAAAAUUUACACUUCUGUAACUUUGUUGUUGCUGUUCAGAGUCUUUAAACUUUUAGUGCAGAGCAAGAGUUUUUCUGUUGCAGGAGGAUCUCCAGAUUGUAGAGGAGAGGUAAUAAAGUAGUAAAAUAUAAUUAACUCUUAUUUUUGAAUGGGAAGAGAGAUUACAAGGAUGUGAAAUAAAACAGGAGAGACAUGGUUUUUUAUUGGAAGAAUCAGAUUUGUUUGAGAAUGAAAUAAAACAAAAGAAGAGAGCACACUCAGAAACUCUAACACUCACUUUCUCCAACAAUCUUGGCACAAGUUUGCUCUUCAUCCUCUGGAACUCAUAUCUAAGCUUGAGUAGGGAGAUGGAUGGUGUUUGGUACACGCCCUUGUACUUAUUUUCUCUGUAUAAUAAAUAUCAUGGUACACUGCUACAAACCAACUUUGGAAGACCUGUGGAAGAAAUAAGGUAGAAACAAAGCAUAAGCACAUUGUUCCAUUAACUUAAAAUUCAAGAAAGAAUGAAUGUAUCCAUCAUAAAUACAUCAGCAUACAAAUUUUAUAGAGCUUCAUGUUUAGAUUUUUCCCAUUAAAUUGCAGUGCUAAAGCUUCACAAUGUUAAUUGCUUUCGCAGCAAGCUGCAUAUUUAGAUAACAAAUGUGUUGAGCCAUAUUGAUUAAAGGAGAUUCUGCAAUGGGGUUGGACAUUCUGAAUUGAGUAUGGUGAGUGAGUGAUGUAGUUGAUGAAUGAUAAAGCACAUGUCUCUGCCAUUAAUGUAUAUUCUAAUUCCUACUUUCAGAACCUCUACCAUAUCAUGGAAAAUGUUCGACACAGGGAGGUCUGGCUAAAGAAAAUUUCAAGGCUCAUCAGUUUAUUGUAAUUAACACAUGCCUGCUGAGCUAUACAAUCUUAAACAUACGCCUUUUAAAUUCCAAUUACAGGUUCCUUAGAUACAGAGUGUCCCUUAUGCCCACUGCAGUUUCCAUUCAUGUUUCUAAAUUGCUUCUGAAAUUAACAUUUUAUAUAGAGGAAAUAUUCUUUAAUUCAGACAGAAGCAAUUUUAAUAAUUAAUAAAAUUUUGUACCUUCAGACAAAGUUUUGCAGAAACAACUUGAUAGAAGAUGUCUAGAGCGAUUAGUUGAAGUGAAGAAGGCUUUGUGUGGGUUUGGCACUGAAAUGGAUGGAUGUGUGGCCUUGCACAUUGGACCCUUUUUUAAGAAAAUUUCAAGGCUCAUCAGUUUAUUCUAAUUAAUUACCAAAUGAGGUAUAGAAUCUUACACCAUUUGACAUUAAGUCAAGUUGCCUAAGAGAUAUAUAAAUCAUACUCCAAGAAUUGAUACCAGUGAUAUGGAACUUUUCCCCACAUCCCAUCAAAGCCUGAUAGCAUGUCACCUAUUCCACAGCACCAGAACCAAACUCACUCUAUAUCUAUAAAACAAAAAGCUGAAUUUCAGUGUUGGAAUAUUUGUUAAUUAUCUGACAAAGACUACAAUCAUAUUGCCAAAGUAUCGUAUAAAAGAUGCUUUAAAUUAGUAAAUAAAGUUAAGAUAUUUCUAAUCCCAGGUAUUUAUAUUAUUUAGUUGAAGUCAUGCAUUAAAUGAACUAACUAGCAGUGUAUGAAUCAAAUAAUUUAGAAAAUAUCAAGUUGAGUUUUAUCUUACUGAGGGCUAAAUAUGAUUUUUUUUUCUAAUGGUAGGAAUUGAACACAAGUAGCAGAAGGUUUUCAAUAACUCACACUACUGAACCAAUUGAGUAUAAAGUUGUUUUUCUAAUGGGCAGUAGUGUUACAUUUAUUUGCAAUGCUCACAACUUCAAUGCCACCUCCCAACUCAGGAAGAAAUCAAAUACAAUUCCAAGGUCUAAGAAUGUAUGUUUAGAAGCAUUUACAUUUCACAACUCCCUUUGCUUCAAUCUUUCUCUGAGGUGUAUUAGUUUUCCCUGGACCUGUUUAGGUAACUCAUCAUCUGAUGAUAACCUAAUUUCAAUCCCUUCUACUUGUUCUCUCUGUAUAAUAUCAUGGUACAUUGGUAGAAACCCUCUUUGGAAAGACCUAUAGGAGAAAUAGGGUAGCAGCACACACAAGAACAAAAGGGUUACUAGCCAAUAUAGACCACUGGGAGCACAUGCUUCCAC
rnacentral:lncRNA from 1 species